GCCCUUAUAGCUCAGUGGUAGAGCGUUGCACUUGUAGCCUAAUUAGUCGAUUCAGAUUACGUACCGGAUGCAAAGGUCCAUAGUUCAAUCCUGUGUGGGGGCA